GAAAUAACACUUUGGAUUCUAUACAUGUGCAGAUUUGAUUAUUACCAUGUUAGACCCACAUUACUUUACCUAAUCUCUACAAAACCUUGUAAAAUUGGUGCCAGAAAUCAAGAGCAGCAGACUUUAGCUGAGUGAGUAUUGAAGGAGAAGUAGGAGUUAACUAGAUAAAGAGGGGAAGGGACGAAGCCGGUCCUUCCAGACAGAGGAUCAGCAUGUGAACAGAAGGAAGCUUUUAGGAACUGAGAGAAG
rnacentral:lncRNA from 10 species